rnacentral:rRNA from 2 species
GACAGAGGUGGCGAGCGUUGUUCGGAAUCACUGGGCUUAAAGGGCGCGUAGGUGGUAGUGUAAGUCUGAGGUGGAAUCCUACGGCUUAACCGUAGAACUGCCUUGGAAACUGCAUUACUUGAGUCAGUGAGGGGAGGGUAGAAUUCCCGGUGUAGCGGUGAAAUGCGUAGAUAUCGGGAGGAAGGCCGGUGGCGAAGGCGGCCCUCUGGCGCUGAACUGACACUGAGGCGCGAAAGCGUGGGGAGCAAACAGG